rnacentral:rRNA from 1 species
AUGCCAAUGGCACUGCCCGGUAGCUAAAUGCGGAAGAGAUAAGUGCUGAAAGCAUCUAAGCACGAAACUUGCCCCGAGAUGAGUUCUCCCUGAGACUUUAAGUCUCCUGAAGGAACGUUAAAGACGAUGACGUUGAUAGGUCGGGUGUGUAAGCGCAGCGAUGCGUUGAGCUAACCGAUACUAAUGAACCGUGAGGCUUAACCUUACAACGCCGAAGGUGUUU